rnacentral:lncRNA from 1 species
UUACCAAGCUGAUGUACAAAGACCUACUACAGCGGUAAGGGCUAGCUCCUUUCUCCCACUCUGGCAGUCACUCCACUUUGAGAAACAUACAUCUUGAAAUAAAGCUACAAGUGGAGAGGGGCAGGUGAUUUGGGCAAAUGAUUCCAUACUAAAUGUUAGGACAAAACAUCCUAGGCAAAUAUCACAAUCCGGCGUCAUAGUGGCAUACUAAAUUCAACCAAGAAAUAUACCCAUGAUGUUGAAAGAGCCAGGCUUAUGGAAUGUAAACAG